GACCGCUCAGGUGGCCAAGUGGUUAGAGCGUCCGCCUCGGAUGUGGGAGGUCGCAGGUUCAAACCCUAACCAAAGUCA